rnacentral:misc_RNA from 1 species
GCACGAUGGCAGGCUAUGACCCAUCCGAUGUGGAGCUCGUUCAAGCAGUGUGUCGCGUUGUGUGCGUCCAUAGCAUUGACUGUUCGGUUGGUGCAUGUCGGUAUAGUAGAGACGUUCAUAACAAGGCGAGCUGCUUGGGAUGGCGAACCGUUGGAAUGGUGAGCUUUAUAAAGGUCCCUUGUCCCGAAGCGAUUGGUGCGAUCAAUCGCCCCUGGUCCUACGUGCUUAGCGGGGCAUGCUUGGGCGUUUUGGUCAUUGUUUAUUACUUGCGAUGCUUAUUUGCGACGUGAGCAUUCAAAUGGUGGCCUUUACAUUCGAGCAUCGUGUACGUAAUGGUGCGUGAGUGGUGAUUGGCGUGUAUGGGCAUGUCGGAUCCCUGCUUAGGCAGCGACGACAUGCCAUGCAUGCCUUUUCAGUUGGUGGUCCAAGUGCGUGCUAGCCUUGGCCGUUCUCGGUUUCCUGCAUUGCAUACCUAUUGCGAGGGCAUUCAGUCGGCUAAAAACGUCCCAUUUUCGCCUUGUGUCGUGUCUCUAAGGCUACGGCGCGGGGUGGACCUUGAAGCACCCAUUGUGUUCCACUUCCCUUGCGUUGUUAACACACGUUCGGGUUGUUGGCCCAUGAUGUCGUGCUUGAUCUCUCGGAUGCGGAAAAUCUAGUGGGCACGAGGCCUAUGGUCUCUAUUUGUCCCGAAACAAAGCGUUCUAUGCUUCGUGCGAACGAUGACCGAUGCUGUUUUAAUUGAGCCCUUGGGCUUGGUUCAUGCGGUGCCGGUGUCGAUAAGGAAUGCU